AAAGAAACUAACAAGGAUUUCCUUAGUAACGGCGAGUGAAAAGGAAAAAGCCCAACGCUGAAUCCAAUAGACUAAUUGUACUAUAUGGAAAUGUAGCGUAUAGGUAUAACUAUCCGUAACAUAUUUUUACACCCAAAGUCCCCCUUGAGCGAGGCUAUAAUCCAUAGAAGGUGCUAGACCUGUACGGGUGAAAAAAGUUACGGUAUGUUAUACUUUGGAGUCGGGUUGUUUGAGAUUGCAGCCCAAAGAGGGUGGUAAACCUCAUCUAAGGCUAAAUACGACCAUGAGACCGAUAGCAAACAAGUACCGUGAGGGAAAGUUGCAAAGAACUUUGAAGAGAGAGUUCAAGAGGGCGUGAAACCGCUGAGAUGGAAACGGAUAGAGUUAACGAAACUUAUCGGUAUUCAACCAAUCAAUUUAGCAUGUCUUUAUAAAAUUAUUAUUCAUGAAUAAUGAAUAAAAUUUUAUUAAAGAUUUAAAAUGCUAGAUUUUAUAACUAAAUAGAUUGGUGUAUUUACCGAUAGUAUGCAUCGAGAACUUCGUUUUAAAAGCAUAUUAGAGCAAUUUUUUAGUGGACCAAUUAUUUUUAUUAAUAAUUGGAAUCCUAAAAAUAUGUCUCGUAAUAUGUCUUAAAUGAAGUUAUUUUUCCCAAAUAUGUAACUAUCACUUGAAAUAUUAGUGACAUGCAUCGAUUAUAAUUUUUAUCAAAUAUAUUUUAUGUGUAGUCGCAUGCGACUUUAAUUGUAAAUAUAUUGAUAAAAUUAUAAUAUUGUAUGCUA
rnacentral:rRNA from 1 species